rnacentral:rRNA from 1 species
GAUGAACGCUGGCGGCGUGCCUAAUACAUGCAAGUCGAGCGAACGGACGAGAAGCUUGCUUCUCUGAUGUUAGCGGCGGACGGGUGAGUAACACGUGGAUAAGCUACCUAUAAGACUGGGAUAACUUCGGGAAACCGUAGCUAAUACCGGAUAAUAUUUUGAACCGCAUGGUUCAAAAGUGAAAGACGGUCUUGCUGUCACUUAUAGAUGGAUCCGCGCUGCAUUAGCUAGUUGGUAAGGUAACGGCUUACCAAGGCAACGAUGCAUAGCCGACCUGAGAGGGUGAUCGGCCACACUGGAACUGAGACACGGUCCAGACUCCUACGGGAGGCAGCAGUAGGGAAUCUUCCGCAAUGGGCGAAAGCCUGACGGAGCAACGCCGCGUGAGUGAUGAAGGUCUUCGGAUCGUAAAACUCUGUUAUUAGGGAAGAACAUAUGUGUAGGUAACUGUGCACAUCUUGACGGUACCUAAUCAGAAAGCCACGGCUAACUACGUG